rnacentral:rRNA from 1 species
GAUGAACGCUGGCGGCGUGCCUAAUACAUGCAAGUCGAGCGAACGGACGAGAAGCUUGCUUUUCUGAUGUUAGCGGCGGACGGGUGAGUAACACGUGGAUAACCUACCUAUAAGACUGGGAUAACUUCGGGAAACCGGAGCUAAUACCGGAUAAUAUUUCGAACCGCAUGGUCCAAAAGUGAAAGACGGUCUUGCUGUCACUUAUAGAUGGAUCCGCGCUGCAUUAGCUAGUUGGUAAGGUAACGGCUUACCAAGGCAACGAUGCAUAGCCGACCUGAGAGGGUGAUCGGCCACACUGGAACUGAGACACGGUCCAGACUCCUACGGGAGGCAGCAGUAGGGAAUCUUCCGCAAUGGGCGAAAGCCUGACGGAGCAACGCCGCGUGAGUGAUGAAGGUCUUCGGAUCGUAAAACUCUGUUAUUAGGGAAGAACAUAUGUGUAAGUAACUGUGCACAUCUUGACGGUACCUAAUCAGAAAGCCACGGCUAACUACGUG